rnacentral:rRNA from 1 species
CUGUUCAACGGCCGCGGUAUCCUAACCGUGCGAAGGUAGCGUAAUCACUUGUUCUUUAAAUGAGGACUUGUAUGAAUGGCAUCACGAGGGUUAUACUGUCUCCUUUCUCUAAUCAGUGAAACUAAUCUCCCCGUGAAGAAGCGGGGAUAACUAUAUAAGACGAGAAGACCCUAUGGAGCUUUAAACUGAUGUGGCAACUGCAUUUAUAACAUUAAAAUUUAAGAAGAUUAACUUUUACCCAAGCACUAUGAUCAUAAGUUUUAGGUUGGGGCGACCACGGAGUAAAAACUAACCUCCGUAAUGAACAGGGAACUUCCCUAAACUAAGGGCCACAACCCGAAGAAUCAUUAUACUGACACCAAUUGACCCAAAAUUUGACCAAUGGACCAAGUUACCCUAGGGAUAACAGCGCAAUCUACUUCAAGAGCCCCUAUCGACAAGUGGGUUUACGACCUCGAUGUUGGAUCAGGGUAUCCCAGUGGUGUAGCCGCUACUAACGGUUCGUUUG